CAGUAGCCGCGGUAAUACGGAGGGAGCUAGCGUUAUUCGGAAUUACUGGGCGUAAAGCGCACGUAGGCGGCUUUGUAAGUAAGAGGUGAAAGCCCGGAGCUCAACUCCGGAACUGCCUUUUAGACUGCAUCGCUUGAAUCCAGGAGAGGUGAGUGGAAUUCCGAGUGUAGAGGUGAAAUUCGUAGAUAUUCGGAAGAACACCAGUGGCGAAGGCGGCUCACUGGACUGGUAUUGACGCUGAGGUGCGAAAGCGUGGGGAGCAAACAGGAUUAGAUACCCGCGUAGUCCCUGUCUCUUAUAC
rnacentral:rRNA from 1 species